GCAAGCUCUACCCAUUCCUCCACAAGAUCACCUUCUUCCCCUUCAUUUAUCAUUGCUCUCUCAACUCCUAAUUCCUCACCAAACUCAUUAAGUAUCACUGCUAUUUUCUUGCCAUGUUGAGUUUUCAAUAUGUAAUUGAUCAAAGUGGAUUUUCCGGAACCGAGAUAGCCGGUGAUGACGGUGACGCCAACCGGCGGAAGCUUUGAGCUCUUUGUCAGUUGAUUAGAGUUGACGGCGUCGUUGAUUUCGACGGCGAGCGGCGGUUCUUCGUCGGAAUUCUCCAUGCUCAG
rnacentral:misc_RNA from 1 species